AGACGCGUAGCUCAGUUGGUUAGAGCACCACCUUGACAUGGUGGGGGUCGUUGGUUCGAAUCCGAUCGCGUCUACCA
rnacentral:tRNA from 2 species